GAGUUUGAUCGUGGCUCAGAACGAACGCUGGCGGCAUGCCUAACACAUGCAAGUCGAACGGGAUCCUGGUUUCGGCCAGGUGAGAGUGGCGGACGGGUGAGUAACGCGUGGGAACCUGCCCAGUGGUGGGGGAUAACUGCGGGAAACUGCAGCUAAUACCGCAUGAGCCCGAAAGGGGAAAGAUUCAUCGCCAUUGGAGGGGCCCGCGUUCGAUUAGGUAGUUGGUGGGGUAAUGGCCUACCAAGCCUGCGAUCGAUAGCUGGUCUGAGAGGAUGAUCAGCCACACUGGGACUGAGAUACGGCCCAGACUCCUACGGGAGGCAGCAGUGGGGAAUAUUGGACAAUGGGGGCAACCCUGAUCCAGCAAUGCCGCGUGAGUGAUGAAGGCC
rnacentral:rRNA from 1 species